rnacentral:rRNA from 1 species
UACGGGGGGAGCAAGCGUUGUUCGGAUUUACUGGGCGUAAAGGGCGCGUAGGCGGCCACCGCAAGUCGACUGUGAAAUCUCCGGGCUUAACCCGGAAAGGUCAGCCGAUACUGCGGGGCUAGAGUGCAGAAGGGGCAACUGGAAUUCUCGGUGUAGCGGUAGAAUGCGUAGAUAUCUGGAGGAACACCAGUGGCGAAAGCGCGUGACUGGGCCAUAACUGACGCUGAGGAACGAAAGCCAGGGAGCGAAAGGG